rnacentral:rRNA from 1 species
UACGAAGGGGGCUAGCGUUGUUCGGAAUUACUGGGCGUAAAGCGCGCGCAGGCGGUCUUCCAAGUCGGUGGUGAAAGCCCGGAGCUCAACUCCGGAACUGCCAUUGAAACUGUAAGACUUGAGGAUGAGAGAGGUGAGUGGAAUUCCCAGUGUAGAGGUGAAAUUCGUAGAUAUUGGGAAGAACACCGGUGGCGAAGGCGGCUCACUGGCUCAUUACUGACGCUCAGGCGCGACAGCGUGGGGAUCAAACAGG